CCAUCACAGCGGGGUCAGCGUUAGUGUGAUCUCUUGACCUUUCUUUACUGGUUCUAUCACAGAAAAACCAUAAAAAUGAAAAGAGAAUAUAGAUAAAGGGAAAACCUUUGUGUCGCGAGCUUACAAGUUUCUGUCGGGGAUACUCGCAAAGUGACGGUGGAAUCGUGAAUGCUUUUUGAGCUCGUUAAAAGUUGUACUUUAGAUGACGCAUAGGUCUAAUCAAGAACCUUUCAAAUCCCCAUUUAUACUCGGACACUCAGGCCUAACUCCUGACCCAUUUUGCACCUGGAAGGAUGUUUACUUAUACGUGACGACGAUUAAUUCUUUAUAUUUGAGAGCUUUGUGUAGCAGAUGUGUUUUGUUUUUAUCAUUUAGCCCAACAAGAUUACACUUCUGAACAACCUAGUCAUUUUUUGGUUAGAAGAAUACGCCGGGAUAUUAAUGUAUGUUUAUUUUCAUCUCUCCGCCUUUGCUUGACACAGCUGAAAGUAGAGGUUAUAAUUGUCACAGAAUUACCUGGAGUGGUAGGCCUACGCGCACGUGCAAGGAGGAAUGAGCGUGAAUGACGUCAGUUUGUCUGAAUGCGUAGAUGCAUGAUGUAAAAAUACGUGUGACGCAGGAGAGAGUGGUUGGCUGGUCGUGAGAAGAACGUUGGUUGGCAGACGGUAAAGGAACGAAUACAGGAGGAACUGUGAGGAAAUUUUUGUGGUCUACAGAGACGACGAUCUGUACUCCCACUCUCUUUCAAAGGGAGGGACAAGGGCGUCACUGCUGUCUCGAGGGUUGAGGUCGAAAAGGUCAGCUUCUUCGAUAUUUUUCCGCCACCCGAGGACCUCUUCAAUGAUGGCCGUGUAUAGAGGGACGAAGUCGCAUAAUGUCAACAAGCUCCAGAAGACAAACUGUAAACCGGAGGUGAUGACGUGGCGACGACGUUCAUGCUGUGGGGUGCAACAACAGCGACUCACAUACGACACCAGCCGCAGGGCGCUGGACAGGUAGAUGACCACCGGAAGCACGUCACUGCCUCUGUCUGUCGACAGUUUGAAGUCUUGUACCAAUGACAACAGCGCCACCAUGCUCAGUGUCAAGCUGAAAAACUGUCGGCAUGGAAACAGCUUAAAGGUAUUGUCUACAGUACUGGAAGCUGUCGUCUUUUAGCAGUGCUGAUGUGACUGUUAUCAUUCAUCACUUGACUUUAUUAAUUUAUUGUGAAAUAUUAAAGGAAGGAACAACA